rnacentral:rRNA from 1 species
CAAUAGCGUAUAUUAAAGUUGUUGCAGUUAAAAAGCUCGUAGCUGGAUUUCUGGUGGGAGCGAUCGGUCUGGCGCUUAGCGCGAGUACUUGCAUCGUCUCCGGCCAUCCUUGGGGAGAGUCUGUCUGGCAUUAGGUUGUCGGGCAGAGGAUCCUCAUCGUUUACUGUGAAAAAAUUAGAGUGUUCAAAGCAGGCUUAUGCCGUUGAAUAUAUUAGCAUGGAAUAAUAAGAUAGGACUUUGGUACUAUUUUGUUGGUUUGCGCACCAAAGUAAUGAUUAAUAGGGACAGUUGGGGGUAUUCGUAUUCCGUUGUCAGAGGUGAAAUUCUUGGAUUUACGGAAGACGAACUACUGCGAAAGCAUUUACCAAGGAUGUUUUCAUUAA